GCGCGCCCCAGCAGUGCACACGUGGAGGCCAGGCCUGCGCCCUGACUAUAAAUUCAUUCGUUCGUUCAUUCAUUCACAUAUGCUUCCUGACGCUGCCAGUGUGACAGGCCAAACUGACCCCACCCCAGGUGGCUGCAGAGACAAAGCCUCAGCCUCCCCUGUAACCCCCCAGCCUCCCCUUGGAGAUGCUGCCUGAAUCCCACACAACCCUA
rnacentral:lncRNA from 1 species